CAAACGACUCUCGGCAACGGAUAUCUCGGCUCACGCAUCGAUGAAGAACGUAGCAAAAUGCGAUACUUGGUGUGAAUUGCAGAAUCCCGUGAACCAUCGAGUUUUUGAACGCAAGUUGCGCCCGAAGCCCUCCGGCCUAGGGCACGUCUGCCUGGGCGUCACGC
rnacentral:rRNA from 1 species